GAUGAACGCUAGCGGCAGGCUUAAUACAUGCAAGUCGAGGGGGAUCAGUUGGGUAGCAAUACCUGGCUGUGAGACCGGCAAACGGGUGAGGAACACGUACGCAACUUUCCCAAAACUGGUGAAUAGCCCUCCGAAAGGAGGAUUAAUACACCGUAACAUAACGAAAUGGCAUCAUUUUGUUAUUAUAGCAGCAAUGCGGUUUUGGAUAGGCGUGCGCCUGAUUAGGUAGUUGGCGGGGUAACGGCCCACCAAGCCUACGAUCAGUAGCUGGUCUGAGAGGAUGAUCAGCCACACUGGGACUGAGACACGGCCCAGACUCCUACGGGAGGCAGCAGUGGGGAAUAUUGGACAAUGGGCGCAAGCCUGAUCCAGCCAUGCCGCGUGAGUGAUGAAGGCCCUAGGGUUGUAAAGCUCUUUUGGCGGGGAAGAUAAUGACGGUACCCGCAGAAUAAGCCCCGGCUAACUUCGUGCCAGCAGCCGCGGUAAGUGACG
rnacentral:rRNA from 1 species